CAGGAUCGUAGUUUAAACAAAACAUUUGCAUUGGAAGCUUAAACUCAGGUGGAUACCUGCAUCUUGA
rnacentral:tRNA from 1 species